UGUACACACCGCCCGUCACACCAUGGGAGCGGGUUCUGCCAGAAGUAGGUAGCCUAACCGUAAGGAGGGCGCUUACCACGGCAGGGUUCGUGACUGGGGUGAAGUCGUAACAAGGUAGCCGUAUCGGAAGGUGCGGCUGGAUCACCUCCUUUCUGGAAAACAGCAUUCAAUAUUGAACGCCCACACUUAUCGGUUGUUGGAAGAAGUCGGUGCUAACCGACAUGGGUCUGUAGCUCAGCUGGUUAGAGCACCGUCUUGAUAAGGCGGGGGUCGUUGGUUCGAGCCCAACUAGACCCACCAAAUCUUCCGAACAUAAGAUGCGAGGAUCAGUGGGGGAUUAGCUCAGCUGGGAGAGCACCUGCUUUGCAAGCAGGGGGUCGUCGGUUCGAUCCCGUCAUCCUCCACCAACCAAUACGCUCUGCGGUAGGGCGAAGAAACCAACACCAAAGCGGCUUCGCGAGAGGCCUCUUUGUUGUUGGUCCGGUAUAGACCGGAUCAAUCGGCUGUUCUUUAAAAAUUCAUAGAGUCGAAUCAGCGUUGCCGGCGGAAAGCAGGAAACUGCACCGUGCCGCCGGUGACAAAAAUUUGAUUGCGUCAAAACGAAUAUUCAAUUGAGCGAAAGCUUGUUGAAAUUCAGUAAUGACGAAUUGUUCUCUAGGUAGCAAUACCGAAGAAGAAUUCACAUUACGGCAUAACGCGCGAGGUGAAAGACCUCGCAAGUCCUUGAAAGAAAGCGGAGAUGUCUCGCAAGAGAUGUCAAAGUUAUAGGGUCAAGUGACUAAGAGCAUGUGGUGGAUGCCUUGGCGAUGAUAGGCGACGAAAGACGUGAUAGCCUGCGAUAAGCUUCGGGGAGCUGGCAAAUAAGCUUUGAUCCGGAGAUUUCUGAAUGGGGAAACCC
rnacentral:misc_RNA from 1 species